rnacentral:rRNA from 1 species
UCUCUUACCCAUGUUUUAUGAGCACUUACGUUUCCUCGGUGGGUUCGCCCACCGAUUGGACCACUUAAACCCUUUGCAGUUUUGUAAUCAGCGUCUGAAAAACUUAAUAGUUACAACUUUCAACAACGGAUCUCUUGGUUCUGGCAUCGAUGAAGAACGCAGCGAAAUGCGAUAAGUAGUGUGAAUUGCAGAAUUCAGUGAAUCAUCGAAUCUUUGAACGCACAUUGCGCCCCUUGGUAUUCCAUGGGGCAUGCCUGUUCGAGCGUCAUUUGUACCUUCAAGCUCUGCUUGGUGUUGGGUGUUUGUCUCGCCUCUGCGUGUAGACUCGCCUUAAAACAAUUGGCAGCCGGCGUAUUGAUUUCGGAGCGCAGUACAUCUCGCGCUUUGCACUCAUAACGACGACGUCCAAAAGUACAUUUUUACACUCUUGACCUCGGAUCAGGUAGGGAU